rnacentral:rRNA from 1 species
GACGAACGCUGGCGGCGUGCCUAACACAUGCAAGUUGAGCGACGAACCAGGGCUUGCCCUGGGGCAAAGCAGCGAACGGGUGAGUAACACGUGGGUAACCUACCCCGAUAACCGGGACAACCCGAGGAAACUCGGGCUAAUACCGGAUGUGCUCACUGGACUUCGGUUCAGUGCGUAAAGGAAGCUUCGGCCUCCGUAUCGGGAGGGGCCCGCGGCCCAUUAGUUUGUUGGUGAGGUAACGGCUCACCAAGACCGCGAUGGGUAGCUGGUCUGAGAGGACGAUCAGCCACACUGGGACUGAGACACGGCCCAGACUCCUACGGGAGGCAGCAGUGGGGAAUCUUGCGCAAUGCGCGAAAACGUGACGCAGCAACGCCGCGUGGGGGAAGAAGGCCUUCGGGUUGUAAACCCCUUUCAGGAGGGACGAAGGUUCGGCGGUGAAUAGCCGUCCGGACUGACGGUACCUCCACAAGAAGCCCCGGCUAACUACGUG